CGGGGUAUGGCGCAGUCUGGUAGCGCGGAAGUUUUGGGUACUUCAGGCCGUUGGUUCGAAUCCAGCUACCCCGACCA
rnacentral:tRNA from 1 species